rnacentral:rRNA from 1 species
CGGGUGGGUAACACGUGAGCAACCUGCCCCGAAGUUUGGGAUAACACCGGGAAACCGGUGCUAAUACCAGAUGCCCUCAUCGAGUCACCUGGCUUGAUGAGGAAAGAUUUAUCGCUUCGGGAGGGGCUCGCGGCCUAUCAGCUUGUUGGUGGGGUGACGGCCCACCAAGGCUUCGACGGGUAGCUGGUCUGAGAGGACGACCAGCCACACUGGGACUGAGACACGGCCCAG